AUGGGGGCCUCUGCCCUCCAGCCUCGGUGGAGUUUGUGGGGAUCGGAGGCGCGGGGGAGCUUGGUGAGGCCCAGCUCCGCAGGUUGGCGCCUGGCUGCCUCCGCUCAGACCCAGGUCCUCGGCUGCGCCCCGGCCCCUGCGGCCGCCCCGAGCCCUGCCCCUCCCCAGCUCCCUGGGCCGGCUAAGGGGGCCGCUCGGGUCCCCGACUCGCCUGAGCCAUCCCUGGACGCCUGGAGCCUCCCCCGCCAGGGGCUUCUGCGCCCUGGCUCCCCGCCCCCCCCCAGGCUCCUCCCGUGCGGCUGCGUCCUCCCCUCGGCGGGGGAUGGCCUGGGCAGGUCAGCGGGUCUCCGAGGCCCCAGCCAGCAGCGCCCUCGCGGCCGGGCCCCUGAGCAGGGAGCCCCCGUGGAAUUCCAGCCAGGUCGGGGGUCGCAGGGCGGCGGCGUUGGUGGCACCCUAGGGCCUGCUGUCAAGGUCAAGGGCGUGGGGGCAGCCAGGGCCACGCCCUUCCCCGCCCGGAGCCACCGGGAGGCUCGCUGCGCCAUUGAACGAAGCUCCUCCUUUAGACUCGCGUAACAGGCCGACCCGGGUCACCGGCCCACCCCCUCCCCAAAACCAGGUCUGCCAAAGAGGUGACAAAGAGGGUGGGGUUCCACCAGGCCCCUCCCUGGGAUCGCCCAGGGCUGCACCCGUGGGGGAGGGGUAGUUCCCCGAAGGAACAUGUGGUCAUUUGGGAAGGGGAAGGGUGGGGAACGCGGGAUCAACGGGCAGCCAGUGAGCGGUCAGGAGCGCGUGUCCACAGCUUGAAUUUCUUGUCCCUGAUGUUGUGCCUUGAAGCUCUUUCACAUCAGGAACCUCGGGCCACGACUUCCCUUUGAACACUUCCUGGAUGACAUCUGCUUCCUGGUUGGAGGCCUCCCACCGAAACCUCCUUCCCGCGCUUGGGCAGCCUGCCC
rnacentral:lncRNA from 1 species